rnacentral:rRNA from 1 species
UACGGAAGGCAGCAGUGGGGAAUAUUGGACAAUGGGCGAAAGCCUGAUCCAGCCAUGCCGCAUGAGUGAAGAAGGCCUUCGGGUUGUAAAGCUCUUUUAGUGAGAAAGAUAAUGACGGUACUCACAGAAGAAGUCCUGGCUAACUCCGUGCCAGCAGCCGCGGUAAUACGGAGAGGGCUAGCGUUAUUCGGAAUUACUGGGCGUAAAGGGCACGCAGGCGGUUAAUUAAGUUGGAUGUGAAAUCCCCGGGCUUAACCUGGGAAUGGCAUUCAAGACUGGUUAGCUAGAGUCUUGUAGAGGGGGUAGAAUUCCAUGUGUAGCGGUGAAAUGCGUAGAGAUGUGGAGGAAUACCGGUGGCGAAGGCGGCCCCUGGACAAAGACUGACGCUCAUGUGCGAAAGCGUGGGGAGCAAACAGGGAUUAGAUACC